GACGAACGCUGGCGGCGUGCUUAACACAUGCAAGUCGAACGGAAAGGCCCUGCUUUUGUUGGGUGCUCGAGUGGCGAACGGGUGAGUAACACGUGAGUAACCUGCCCUUGUCUUUGGGAUAACUCCAGGAAACUGGGGCUAAUACCGGAUAGGAGCUCCUGUUGCCUGGUGGGGGUUGGAAAGUUUCGGUGGUUGGGGAUGGUCUCGCGGCUUCUCAGCUUGUUGGUGGGGUAGUGGUUUACUAAGGCUUUGACGGGGAGUCGGCCUGAGAGGGUGACCGGCGAGAUAGGGACUAGAAUACGGCCCAAAGUCGUACGGGAGACAGCAGUGGGAAAGGUGGCACAAUGAGCGAGAGCCGGAGGCAGAAGCACCGCGUGCGGGAUGACGUGCAUCUGGUUGGAAAACGCUUUAGCCUGUAACAAAGCUGUGGUGACGGUAAUGGGUAAAGAAGCGCCGGCUAACUACGUG
rnacentral:rRNA from 1 species